rnacentral:rRNA from 1 species
GGGGAGUACGCCGGCAACGGUGAAACUCAAAGGAAUUGACGGGGGCCCGCACAAGCGGAGGAACAUGUGGUUUAAUUCGAUGAUACGCGAGGAACCUUACCCGGGCUCAAACGUUGGGGGAAUGCUCCUGAAAGGGAGCAGCCAGCAAUGGUCGCCAACGAGGUGCUGCAUGGUUGUCGUCAGCUCGUGCCGUGAGGUGUCGGCUUAAGUGCCAUAACGAGCGCAACCCCUGCGUCCAGUUACCAUCAAGUCAUGUUGGGGACUCUGGACGGACUGCCGGCGCAAGCCGUGAGGAAGGCGGGGAUGACGUCAAAUCAGCACGGCCCUUACGUCCGGGGCGACACACGUGUUACAAUGGCGUGGAACAGCGGGAAGCCACCUGGCGACAGGGAGCGGACCCCUAAAACACGUCUCAGUUCGGAUUGGAGUCUGCAACUCGACUCCAUGAAGCUGGAUUCGCUAGUAAUCGCGCAUCAGCCAUGGUGCGGUGAAUACGUUCCCGGGCCUUGUACACACCGCCCGUCAAGCCAUGGGAGCCGGGAGUGCCUGAAGUACGUAACCGGAAGGAGCGUCCAAGGGUAACACUGGUGACUGGGGCUAAGUCGUAACAAGGUAACC